UCUCCCGUAGCGCAAUUGGCUAGCGCGCCAGACUGUUAAUAUGGAGGUUCUAAGUUCAAGCCUUAGCGGAGGAG